CUCCUCCCCUCCCACUUUUGGCCCCCUCUUCCCACUUUCUUCCCCCGCCUCCCCUCUGGCUUUGCUGCCUCUCCCCCCCCCCCCCCCACCCUCCGUCCCCCGCGCGCUCUUUCCUCCUUGGAAAUGAUAUCUCCCCUCACCACGAUCCAUGAAUCAACCGCUGCCACCUCAUUGGUCCCCAAACCAUUCCAAGGUUCCAGCAUAAAACCGGGAAAUGAGAAAAGGAAGGUGGACACGGUCCUGGGAAACUGUCUUGUCUGAGGAGCGUUUUGGCGAGAGUGCUAUGCCUUGGCACUGCGUCUUCAACCCCCAACGUUCCCCUCUCCAAGUCUCGCCCACCCUGGAAGACUUAGCCAAGGAGUAAAGGGGCAGGGUUGGGUUUUUUGUUUUGUUUUGUUUUUGUUUAUUUGUUUGUUUGUUUGUUUUUAUUUUUUGUUUUUUCUUUUUUGUUUUUUUUUUGUUUGUUUUUUUAACCCAGAAUGUUUUGUGCUCCUGGGUGGGUGGCGCUAGAGAUUUGGGUCUGAAAUGACAGUUGGUUAAUUCAGCCGUGUACCCUGGACCCUGUGAUGAUAGUAACUUUACUCCUAGCACACCUUAUGGAGGACGCACAGUAAUGCCUGCAGCGGAGGGUGAGCACCUCUUUCCUAUUUCUGAAACAAAAUACAGGAAGAACAGAAGCACCCAUAGCAACCUUGGCUCUCUGUUGCCCUCUUGGAAAGCUUUAAAUAGCUUUGGACAAAUUUCUGUUCCAGGAUUGGGAAAGGAUUUGAAGAGUGUUAAAGGAAAGCCAUCGUGGGUUACAUUCUUGUUCCAGGACAUGGCCGCUUGCUUGAGGUUGUCCAAAUGAGAGUGCGAAGGAAAGACUGAGUUCCCGUCAAAUUAGGGUUCAUCUUGCUCCUCUUUCAGCCAGUUCUCAAAGAUGUCUUCCCCAGGUUUUGACUAAAGAGCGAAGCAUAUGAUCACACAACUCUGCCAUGUGUUUACUGUAACUUAUCAUGGCUAAGUACUGCACGGAAAGUGGCUUCACAAUUUUUAAAAAUACAUAUCCUCUGGUAGAAAAUAUGAAAUCGGAUGACAUCAUACGCCACUAAAAAUACUUUAGAAUAUUGGUUUUAAUUUUCUCACAUCUGGUUAGAAUAAAACUUCUUUUUUCCUGGUGUAAACUCUGAG
rnacentral:lncRNA from 1 species